GAUCGGUAUCUGCGGCUGCUGAAAAAAUCAUGGAGACUCCAUAGAACGCUUAAAUAGUUGAGGUAUAUACACUGGAGCAACUCAAGUGCAUGUGUGACUUUUUGAGAAGAAACCACACAAGGCUGUUGGUUAGCAAUCACCAUGUAAAAGGGUUUGCAGAAACCAGACAGAGAGCCUGUGUGGAGAUACUAUUGGCUGCCCAGGUCGGACUGCCUCAAACCUGAGGCGGUCUUGGAGUGAUCUAACAAAAGAGUGAAUGAUUAUGCUAGGAAUCAGACAAAGACUGGUGGUAAAGUGAAGCCAAAUAUGGAGAUUGUGCUGGCAGCCAUGAGGGACAAGGCCAAGCAUAGGGUCCAUGGCCAGGAGACAGAGACUGGGGCAUCUGAGCAACUGCUUUCACAUAAGGCAGCCUGCUUCUGGACAUGGGGAAGCCAGAGGAGGAAAAGGAGGUUGAGGCGGAACCUCAAGCUGUUCCCGGGGCACCAUUGACAUCCAGGGUAGAUGGGGUCUAGUUGAUUUUUAGGACACCAAGAUGACAUCCAGCAUAAGAGAAGAGAAGGUGCUCUUCCUGUUAUGACCAGCACACCAAGUACCAGGAGCAUGGAUCUGCAGCAAGUUCAGCAGGAGACGCUCAGAAUGCAGCAAGCUAUGCUGCAAACAUUUAAAAUCAUCCAUGUUGAUUUUUGUAAUUAUCCACAAUUGUUUGCAGCAGUUUGUUAAUGGAAAUCAGUAGUAACAUUGAACAAUGCAACUUCCUCUCCAUUUUUUUAAAACUGGAAACCUGUUGAAUAUUGUUUUUAGAAAAUGAAGUAAAUCACCUUGAACUUUGGAAAUUUCCAAAAGCAUAUAUUUUAGCAAGUAAUAUGAAAAUGAGUUAUACCUUGGUCACAUUUGGUGGCCUUACGGCAAGUCAAAAUCAGUUGUUUUAUGUAUUACUAUACGAACCACCUACAUGAAGCUGGUACAAGGAUGAGUAAAAUGGUUGAUUUCGACUCGCCAUAAUGCCACCGUCGAAUGUGACCUAGGCAUAAGUUGUUGAUGUCAUUGCCUCAUAAUUUUGAACAAAAAGUGACAAAGACUACAUUCUUCAGGAUUGAGAAAGUUAAACUUGAACUUUAUUCUCAUCUCAGUAGAUAGAAGAUAAUGUUAUUCAUUCAAUACUGCGGUAGAAUUUGAACAAAUGCCUUGCAAUGCAACAUAAAAAUUUAGGUUCUGAAAUCUUGAUGGGAAUCCCUGUGCAAGAACAGUUUUAAAGUUUAUUUAUACAUGUUCAUAUUGCAAGUCUGUUAUAUGAUCUGUCAGCAUUGUUUGUGGAUCUCACACUGGUGUCAUUAGCCAUAGUUCCAAUCUUACGCCAUCUGCAAAACAUUUUCCAAGGGUACUGUUAUGUUGAUUUAAAAGAAAAGGGACCUUGUCAACAUUCAAUCACAUCUUUCAAUACGCAUAUAAGGGUAUGGGAUACUGUUAGCAUUGAAAUUAAAAUAUUACUUGAUAAAAUUUAUUUUCAAUUAAAUUAAAAGUAUUAUAAUGGUUCAUAACAAGUUCUUUUGACUGUCACUCUGACUGUUCUUAAUAAGUGAUUGCGAAUAAAAUUAUUUGAAAUGUAUAA